UACGAAGGGUGCAAGCGUUAAUCGGAAUUACUGGGCGUAAAGCGUGCGUAGGCGGUUUCUUAAGUCUGCUGUGAAAGCCCUGGGCUCAACCUGGGAAUGGCGGUGGAUACUGAGAAGCUGGAGUACGGUAGAGGAAGGUGGAAUUCCCGGUGUAGCGGUGAAAAUGCGUAGAGAUCGGGAGGAACAUCAGUGGCGAAGGCGGCCUUCUGGACCAGUACUGACGCUGAGGCACGAAAGCGUGGGGAGCAAACAGG
rnacentral:rRNA from 1 species